rnacentral:rRNA from 1 species
GAUUCGUCACACUAUCAUUAACUGAAUCCAUAGGUUAAUGAGGCGAACCGGGGGAACUGAAACAUCUAAGUACCCCGAGGAAAAGAAAUCAACCGAGAUUCCCCCAGUAGCGGCGAGCGAACGGGGAGGAGCCCAGAGCCUGAAUCAGCAUGUGUGUUAGUGGAAGCGUCUGGAAAGGCGCGCGAUACAGGGUGACAGCCCCGUACACAAAAGCGCAUGUGCUGUGAGCUCGAUGAGUAGGGCGGGACACGUGGUAUCCUGUCUGAAUAUGGGGGGACCAUCCUCCAAGGCUAAAUACUCCUGACUGACCGAUAGUGAACCAGUACCGUGAGGGAAAGGCGAAAAGAACCCCGGCGAGGGGAGUGAAAAAGAACCUGAAACCGUGUACGUACAAGCAGUGGGAGCACAGGUUUACCUGUGUGACUGCGUACCUUUUGUAUAAUGGGUCAGCGACUUAUAUUCUGUAGCAAGGUUAACCGUAUAGGGGAGCCGUAGGGAAACCGAGUCUUAACCGGGCGUUAAGUUGCAGGGUAUAGACCCGAAACCCGGUGAUCUAGCCAUGGGCAGGUUGAAGGUUGGGUAACACUAACUGGAGGACCGAACCGACUAAUGUUGAAAAAUUAGCGGAUGACCUGUGGCUGGGGGUGAAAGGCCAAUCAAACCGGGAGAUAGCUGGUUCUCCCCGAAAGCUAUUUAGGUAGCGCCUCGUGAAUUCAUCUCCGGGGGUAGAGCACUGUUUCGGCUAGGGGGCCAUCCCGGCUUACCAACCCGAUGCAAACUGCGAAUACCGGAGAAUGUUAUCACGGGAGACACACGGCGGGUGCUAACGUCCGUCGUGAAGAGGGAAACAACCCAGACCGCCAGCUAAGGUCCCAAAGUCAUGGUUAAGUGGGAAACGAUGUGGGAAGGCCCAGACAGCCAGGAUGUUGGCUUAGAAGCAGCCAUCAUUUAAAGAAAGCGUAAUAGCUCACUGGUCGAGUCGGCCUGCGCGGAAGAUGUAACGGGGCUAAACCAUGCACCGAAG